UUUGUGAAAAUCCUCAGAAAUUGUUAGUUCCAUUUGAGAUGAGAGGAUAUCAAGGUGUUUAUAACUUGGAAAAGAAGAUAUAUGAAGCUGCAAUUAGGGGUCUUACUCUAAUUAAAAGUCC